GACGAACGCUGGCGGCGUGCCUAAUACAUGCAAGUAGAACGCUGAAGGAGGAGCUUGCUUCUCUGGAUGAGUUGCGAACGGGUGAGUAACGCGUAGGUAACCUGCCUGGUAGCGGGGGAUAACUAUUGGAAACGAUAGCUAAUACCGCAUAAGAGUAGAUGUUGCAUGACAUUUGCUUAAAAGGUGCAAUUGCAUCACUACCAGAUGGACCUGCGUUGUAUUAGCUAGUUGGUGGGGUAACGGCUCACCAAGGCGACGAUACAUAGCCGACCUGAGAGGGUGAUCGGCCACACUGGGACUGAGACACGGCCCAGACUCCUACGGGAGGCAGCAGUAGGGAAUCUUCGGCAAUGGACGGAAGUCUGACCGAGCAACGCCGCGUGAGUGAAGAAGGUUUUCGGAUCGUAAAGCUCUGUUGUAAGAGAAGAACGAGUGUGAGAGUGGAAAGUUCACACUGUGACGGUAUCUUACCAGAAAGGGACGGCUAACUACGUGCCAGCAGCCGCGGUAAUACGUAGGUGGCAAGCGUUAUCCGGAUUUAUUGGGCGUAAAGAGAGUGCAGGCGGUUUUCUAAGUCUGAUGUGAAAGCCUUCGGCUUAACCGGAGAAGUGCAUCGGAAACUGGAUAACUUGAGUGCAGAAGAGGGUAGUGGGACUCCAUGUGUAGCGGUGGAAUGCGUAGAUAUAUGGAAGAACACCAGUGGCGAGGCGGCUACCUGGUCUGCAACUGACGCUGAGACUCGAAAGCAUGGGUAGCGAACAAG
rnacentral:rRNA from 1 species